GCCGGGGAUCCGGCGGAGGGACUGCAGCAGUGCUCGGUGGGGGCGGGGGCUGCAAUGUCGCUCAUUUGGGGGUCAGGUGUGUGCAUCCCAGCCAGGGUCUGCUGCCAGUCAGCACCUUCCCCAUAUCACCCAGGGCCUAAGGGCGGAGGCGGAGGGCAGGGGACUGCGGAGCUGUCCCUGGAGCGGGACGCGAACCGGCAGAGUUGGGAGAAGAGCCUCUGAGCCCAGGAGCCGAGCAUGCUGCCCCCGCGUGCGGCGCCCGCGUGCACCCAGCCCGGAGAGGGGGCGCCGGGCGGAGGCGGUGGCCCCCGGAAGGUGUCUGGGACCGGACCGGCUGCACGUGAGCCCAGCGCCGGGUCAUGUGCACCAGCUCAGCCCGGUUCGGCGGCUGGACGUGCUGCGUAUCAACAAAAUGAAACUCAGGAGGGCAGAUAGCUCCAGGUUCUCCGAAUCCCCAAUCCCGGACGCUCGGCCUCCCCCCGCUCCCCUCUCCAGCCGCAGCCCCUCCAACCGGCCGGAGCCCGCGGGGCAAGUUGCAACCUCCGCGCGCCCCCGCCCUCCCGCGCCCCCUCGCCGGCCCAGGGGCGCUUUGCCGCAGUCAUUAAUAAAGAAGGUCGCCAGGCUCACCCUUCCAAAA